rnacentral:lncRNA from 1 species
AGGAGCCUCUUGAGUCUCCAAGGGCCUUGCUACACGCCCAAGACCCUAGGGGGUGCUAAGACCUAGUGGACCAGCUGCAUAGGACUGCCAGCUCCAGGCAGGACCCCCUGCAGCCCAGAAAAGCUGCAACAAGCCUGGCCGAAUCGGGAAAAGAUCUCAGACGGUCUUUCGGAGUCGGGCUGUCCUGGGGAGGAGCCUCUUGAGUCUCCAAGGGCCCUGCUACCCGCCCAAGACCCCAAGGGGUGCUGAGACCUAGUGGACCAGCUGCAUAGGACUGCCAGCUCCAGGCAGGACCCCCUGCAGCCCAGAAAAGCUGCAACAAGCCUGGCCGAAUCGGGAAAAGAUCUCAGACGGUCUUUCUGAGUCGGGCUGUCCUGGGGAGGAGCCUCUUGAGCCUCCAAGGGCCCUGCUACCCGCCCAAGACCCCAGGGGGUGCUGAGACCUAGUGGACCAGCUGCAUAGGACUGCCAGCUCCAGGCAGGACCCCCUGCAGCCCAGAAAAGCUGCAACAAGCCUGGCCGAAUCGGGAAAAGAUCUCAGACGGUCUUUCUGAGUCGGGCUGUCCUGGGGAGGAGCCUCUUGAGCCUCCAAGGGCCCUGCUACCCGCCCAAGACCCCAGGGGGUGCUGAGACCUAGUGGACCAGCUGCAUAGGACUGCCAGCUCCAGGCAGGACCCCCUGCAGCCCAGAAAAGCUGCAACAAGCCUGGCCGACUUGGGAAAAGAUCUCAGACGGUCUUUCUGAGUCGGGCUGUCCUGGGGAGGAGCCUCUUGAGUCUCCAAGGGCCCUGCUACCCGCCCAAGACCCCAGGGGGUGCUGAGACCUAGUGGACCAGCUGCAUAGGACUGCCAGCUCCAGGCAGGACCCCCUGCAGCCCAGAAAAGCUGCAACAAGCCUGGCCGAAUCGGGAAAAGAUCUCAGACGGUCUUUCUGAGUCGGGCUGUCCUGGGGAGGAGCCUCUUGAGCCUCCAAGGGCCCUGCUACCCGCCCAAGACCCCAGGGGGUGCUGAGACCUAGUGGACCAGCUGCAUAGGACUGCCAGCUCCAGGCAGGACCCCCUGCAGCCCAGAAAAGCUGCAACAAGCCUGGCCGACUUGGGAAAAGAUCCCAGACGGUCUUUCUGAGUCGGGCUGUCCUGGGAGGAGCCUCUUGAGUCUCCAAGGGCCCUGCUACCCGCCCAAGACCCCAGGGGGUGCUGAGACCUAGUGGACCAGCUGCAUAGGACUGCCAGCUCCAGGCAGGACCCCCUGCAGCCCAGAAAAGCUGCAACAAGCCUGGCCGACUUGGGAAAAGAUCUCAGACGGUCUUUCUGAGUCGGGCUGUUCUGGGGAGGAGCCUCUUGAGUCUCCAAAGGCCCUGCUACCCGCCCAAGACCCCAAGGGGUGCUGAGACCUAGUGGACCAGCUGCAUAGGACUGCCAGCUCCAGGCAGGACCCCCUGCAGCCCAGAAAAGCUGCAACAAGCCUGGCGGAAUCGGGAAAAGAUCUCAGACGGUCUUUCUGAGUCGGGCUGCCCUGGGGAGGAACCUCUUGAGUCUCCAAGGGCCCUGCUACCCGCCCAAGACCCCAGGGGGUGCUGAGAACCAAGUGAAAUCUGCUACCAUCGUGGGGUGGACCUCCCAGUCCUGUCUGCCCUCAGGAAGUCCUCCUUUGCUUCAAAGAAACACUGUUAGUCCCAUCAACACUCCAGAAAAGCCACACUGCCUCAAAAAAAGAUUGACCAACAACGACAGCCCUCAGGAAAUAUUCCAGGGCAGUGACAAGGCAAACACUACCCGAUAACAGAGAGUACAACUCCCUCAGGAGAAAGAAGACAACAAGCAAGAUGAAGAAGCUGAGAAACCACCCCCAGUCAAACCAACAGGAGAACUCACCUAAAACAGUCAACAAUGAAACUGAUCUCUGCAGUCUGACAGACCUGGAGUUCAAAAGAGAAAUAGUGAAAAUACUGAAGGAAUUAAGAGAAGAUAUGAACAGCAAUGCAGAUACCCUCAGAAAGGAGCUAGAAAAUAUAAGGAGGAGCCAAGAAAAACUAGAACAUUCAUUUGCAGAGAUGCAAACUGAACUAGGGGCAGUAAAAACCAGAAUGAAUAAUGCAGAAGAACGAAUCAGUGAUAUGGAAGAUAGAAUAAUGGAAAUCACUCAAUCUGGUCAACAGACAGAAAACCGAAUCAAAAAACUGGAAAGCAAUAUAAGAGACCUAUGGGAUAAUAUAAAACGGGCCAAUCUACGCAUAAUAGGAAUUCCAGAAGGAGUAGAAAAGAUAAAGGAAUGGAAAAUAUAUUUGAAGAAAUUAUCGCUGGAAACUUCCCAAAUCUAAAGGAUACUGGAUUCAAGAUACAAGAAGCACAGAGGGCCCCAAACAAACUGAACCCAAACAGACCCACACCAAGACACAUCAUAAUAAAAAUGGCAAAAGUUAGUGAUAAAGAGAGGAUCCUAAAGGCAGCAAGAGAAAAACAGAAUGUUACCUACAAGGGAACCCCAUAAGAAUAUCAGCUGAUUUCUCUACAGAAACACUACAGGCCAGGAGGGAAUGGCAAGAGAUAUUUAAAGUGCUCAAAGGAAAAAAUAUGCAACCUAGAAUACUUUAUCCAGCAAGAAUAUCAUUUAAAAUAGAAGGGGAAAUAAAAAUUUUUCCCAACAAACAAAAACUUAAAGAAUACAGCAACACAAAACCCAGGUUAAAGGAAAUAUUGAAAGGGCUUCUCU